rnacentral:rRNA from 1 species
GAUGAACGCUGGCGGCGUGCCUAAUACAUGCAAGUCGAGCGAACGGACGAGAAUCUUGCUUCUCUGAUGUUAGCGGCGGACGGGUGAGUAACACGUGGAUAACCUACCUAUAAGACUGGGAUACCUUCGGGAAACCGUAUCUAAUACCGGAUAAUAUUUUGAACCGCAUGGUUCAUAAGUGAAAGACGGUCUUGCUGUCACUUAUAGAUGUAUCCGCGCUGCAUUAGCUAGUUGGUAAGGUAACGGCUUACCAAGGCAACGAUGCAUAGCCGACCUGAGAGGGUGAUCAGCCACACUGGAACUGAGACACGGUCCAGACUCCUACGGGAGGCAGCAGUAGGGAAUCUUCCGCAAUGGGCGAAAGCCUGACGGAGCAACGCCGCGUGAGUGAUGAAGGUCUUCGGAUCGUAAAACUCUGUUAUUAGGGAAGAACAUAUGUGUAAGUAACUGUGCACAUCUUGACGGUACCUAAUCAGAAAGCCACGGCUAACUACGUG